UACGUAGGUGGCAAGCGUUAUCCGGAAUUAUUGGGCGUAAAGGGUGCGUAGGCGGUUUGGUAAGUCUGAUGUGAAAUCUAUGGGCUCAACUCAUAGUCUGCAUCGGAAACUGCCGGGCUUGAGUGUGGGGAGAGGUGAGUGGAAUUCCUGGUGUAGCGGUGAAAUGCGUAGAUAUCAGGAGGAACACCUGUGGCGAAAAGCGGCUCACUGGACCAUACUGACGCUGAUGCACGAAAAGCUAGGGGGAGCAAACAGGAUUAGAAAACCCCCAGU
rnacentral:rRNA from 1 species